CCAAAUCAAACAACAAAAGCAAAGACAUCUCUAAACAACAUCAAAGUACUUCAGAUCUUUCUAUAGCCACUUCUUCGGCUAUAAGCGUAGUUUUUGAAAUUCAUCAAUUCUUAUCGAUGAACCUGCUUGGACCUCAAUGCUUUUGUCAAUGGAGGGUUUGAUGCAUGUGUUUGUUAAGGCAAGCCCACUGGACAACAACUGGAAGGUGCACAUCACAUGGUCCUGCAUGCCAAUUGACCCACUUGUUCUGCUGUUCUAUGCACCUGAAACAAAAAUGAUAACAUGCUCAUGAUUGGAUUUAGCUCCAUGGGGACCAUAAAGCUAGCCACAAGGGCUUAAGCGAAUCAAAUUGGCUUUUUGGGCAGAGGAAUUAAUGGUGUUCAUCGGUUUCCGAAUUUCAAGUUAUAUUGGUGAAUGUGAUUUUGGGAUUUGUGGACUUGCCCACUCUUAGAUGAAAGGAAUCAGGGUUCAAAAUCCCAUAAAUCCCAUCGUUUGGUCAGGAUUCUUAGAAUUACAGCCAGAGAGAUCCACCUUGACAUGAAGCCUUUGGUCUGCUGUUUGCCUGGAUUGGCGCGAGAAGAAGUGAGGCCAACUUUUUGAUGUCCUCAAAUGAAAACGGAAAGCAUGCGGAGAGGUGAGAGUCGGGAGGUUCCAGUCUUCAUGCCGGUGGCAAGAUUUCCAUCUUCUGUAACAAAGGAUUACGAAUCCCUGGAUAAGGUUUUGUCUGUAAAUGGAAAUCAAGAGAGAGCGGCCACUGGUUUUCAGCAACGCCCUGUGACCCACUUGAGUGCAGUUCUUUGCACCAAAAACAAAAUCACUAACAUGCCCAGGGGGGAGAGAACGAAGGCUGAUGUAAUAUUCAAAUUGGCUAGAGGGCCACUUGCCAUGGACCUUUCACCAUUGAUAUUUGGUUGCACAACUCCACUUGCCUCACAUGGCAUCCACCUUUUGGUAUUUAUUCUUCUUGACUGUUCUUGUCAAGGAACGCACACCCACUUGACGAAAUUGUCGAAAUCAAUGCAUCGCAAUUGGGAAGUCGCCACAAUGACCACGAUCCUGCCUAUAUAAACAGAAGAAGCUCCAAAAUUCAUUCCACAACCUUCUCCGGCCACCGCCUCCCUCCUGAACUAGCUGGUACCAGCACCUUGUGCCCUCUUAAAGCAAUGGAAAGCUUAGCCAGCUUUGAGGGACUCUGCCUGGCGGUUCCCCUUGUCUUCUUUCUCUUCUUCCUCUUUAUGGCGGUGGAGUUCUCUUGGAACAACCGGAGCAUUGGCCUGCCCCCAGAUGCUUGCUUCCCUUCAAGCCAAAAAUGGCUUGAUAGGCACCAAGUUCAUCAUCCUCCUGUUGCCAGGGGACUCGGAUCCCCAAUCCCUCCUGACCACGUAAUUGGCGGCCAGAAAUUCAUGUAUUCUUUCCAGUGAAGACCCCAAGAACUGUUGACGUCCUCAAGCUGAUGGACUUUUCACGAAUCUGACAGUCAAGAUAAAUCACUCACAGGUUGCGAGACAUGUUCUUUCGGGCAAUGGAAUUAAUGGCGUCAUUUGAUCUUUCCAGCAACAGGCUGGUUAUCGUGAUGUUGGGAUUUGUGGACUUGCCCUCUUUUAAGAUUGAAAAGAAAUCAGGAUUUAGAAUCCCAUCAUUGCUCACAAUUCCUAGCAGUCGAGAAAGAUCACCCUGGGAGGCGACCUUCAUCUGCUGUACGUUGUGAUUUGCGAGGCCGACUUUCUUGCAUCUUCAAAUCCCCUGCUUCUGAUGACGGUGAAAGUCAUGCGGAGAUGGGAUAGUCGGGAGAUCCACUCCUCAUGUCCUGUGUUUGGCGAUGGCGUGAUAUUUCAUCUUCUGCAGAAAGAUUACAAUUCCACCUGUAUAAGGUUUCAUAUUGUGAACGGAAAUAAAGAAUUAUACAGUUUUGCUCA